rnacentral:sRNA from 1 species
CAAGAUCACCAUCUUCCUUGUUGAAGAAGAUUGCAAUGUGGAGAA